CGGACCUACGGGAGGCAGCAGUAGGGAAUCUUCCACAAUGGACGAAAGUCUGAUGGAGCAACGCCGCGUGAGUGAAGAAGGGUUUCGGCUCGUAAAGCUCUGUUGGUAGUGAAGAAAGAUAGAGGUAGUAACUGGCCUUUAUUUGACGGUAAUUACUUAGAAAGUCACGGCUAACUACGUGCCAGCAGCCGCGGUAAUACGUAGGUGGCAAGCGUUGUCCGGAUUUAUUGGGCGUAAAGCGAGUGCAGGCGGGUCAAUUAAGCUGAUGUGAAAGGUUUU
rnacentral:rRNA from 1 species